rnacentral:misc_RNA from 1 species
UCCGAGUUGACCCCGGCAGUCUCCUACGAGUCCCCGCCAUUACGCGCUGGCAACAUAGGAUAAGGGUUGCGCUCGUUGCGGGACUUAACCCAACAUCUCACGACACGAGCUGACGACAGCCAUGCACCACCUGUCAUGUGCCCUUUCGGACACCGUAUCUCUACGGCUUUUCCCAUGAUGUCAAACCCAGGUAAGGUUCUUCGGGUCGCAUCGAAUUAAGCCGCAUGCUCCGCUGCUUGUGCGGGCCCCCGUCAAUUUCUUUGAGUUUUAGCCUUGCGGCCGUACUCCCCAGGCGGGGUACUUAAUGCGUUAGCUACGGCACGGAUCCCAAGGAAGGAAACCCACACCUAGUACCCACCGUUUACGGCGUGGACUAC